UAGAACAAAAGAUUUAACAUUUUAACUUUUAUAUAAUUUCCAAAUAUUCAAUUUACAYAAAUGUAAAAAAACAUUUAUACUAAAGAAAGACGAUAAGACCCUAUAGAACUUAACUUAAGUUAAACUGGGGUAGUCAAUUAAUUAUAAUUUUAAUUAAUUUCAUUAAAAAACAAUCUAAUACAUUUAAAUAAUUCAGUUACCUUAGGGAUAACAGCGCAAUUAUAUUUUAAAGAUCUCAUUUAAAAAAUAGAUUACGACCUCGAUGUUGAUUUAAUAACCUAAAAUAAGCAAAUUUAUAAAAAGGAAGUCUGUUCGACUUUUAAAUAAUUACAUGAUUUGAGUUCAGACCGGUAUAAGCCAGGUCGGUUUCUAUCUUCUAAAUAAAUUUUUAUAGUACGAAAGGACCCAAAAAUAUAAUUUAAUUAUUUAAUUGGCAGAAAAAUGCAUUAGAAUUAGAAUCUAAUAAAACUAAUU
rnacentral:rRNA from 1 species